UACAGAGGGUGCAGGCGUUAAUCGGAAUUACUGGGCGUAAAGCGCACGUAGGUGGCUUGAUAAGUUGGGUGUGAAAUCCCCGGGCUUAACCUGGGAAUUGCAUUCAAGACUGUCUUGCUAGAGUGUGGAAGAGGGAAGCGGAAUUCCAGGUGUAGCGGUGAAAUGCGUAGAUAUCUGGAGGAACACCUGUGGCGAAGGCGGCCCCCUGGGCCGGCCCUGACACUGAGACGCGAAGGCGUGGGGAGCGAACGGG
rnacentral:rRNA from 1 species